UCACUGAACAUGCACACACAAAACACCAAAAAAAAAAAAAAAAAAAAACACACCCCCAGGGUGAGGCUCUUCCCUUGCACUUCGGUUGAGCUGACCUCUGCGAUUACCCCAAAUGUGGGUAACUCGGGCGCGUAAUUUUUGGUAGUCGGGACUGCGUUCGCGCUGUCCCGGU